GAGGGUAUAGCUCAGUAGUAGAGUGUGUGCUUAGCAUGCUUGAGGUCCUGGGUUCAAUCCCCAGUACCUCCA
rnacentral:tRNA from 1 species